rnacentral:rRNA from 1 species
UCGAGAAUUUUUCACAAUGGGGGAAACCCUGAUGGAGCGACGCCGCGUGGAGGACGAAGGCCUUCGGGUCGUAAACUCCUGUCAUGCGGGAACAAGAAAGUGAUAGUACCGCAAGAGGAAGGGACGGCUAACUCUGUGCCAGCAGCCGCGGUAAUACAGAGGUCCCAAGCGUUGUUCGGAUUCAUUGGGCGUAAAGGGUGCGUAGGUGGCGAUGUAAGUCUGGUGUGAAAUCUCGGGGCUCAACCUCGAAAUGGCAUUGGAUACUGCGUUGCUUGAGGAUUGUAGAGGAGAGUGGAAUUCACGGUGUAGCAGUGAAAUGCGUAGAUAUCGUGAGGAAGACCAGUUGCGAAGGCGACUCUCUGGGCAAUUCCUGACACUGAGGCACGAAGGCCAGGGGAGCAAACG